AUUGAACGCUGGCGGCGUGCUUUACACAUGCAAGUCGGACGAGUGGCGAACGGGUGAGUAACGCAUCGGAACGUACCGCGUAAUGGGGGAUACCUGUUCGAAAGGACAGCUAAUACCGCAUAUUAUUCGAGCGGCCGAUGUCUGAUUAGCUGGUUGGCGGGGUAAAGGCCCACCAAGGCGACGAUCAGUAGCGGGUCUGAGAGGAUGAUCGGCCCAACGGGGACUGAGACACGGCCCAGACUCCUACGGGAGGCAGCAUUGGGGAAGUUUGGAGAAGGGGCGCAAGCCGGAUCCAGCCAUGCCGCGUGUCUGAAGAAGGCCUUCGGGUUGUAAAGGACUUUUGUCAGGGAAGCGGUACCUGAAGAAUAAGCACCGGCUAACUACGUGCCAGCAGCCGCGGUAAUUC
rnacentral:rRNA from 1 species